CGGCAUGCUUUACACUGCAAGUCGAACGGUAACAGGGAGCUGCUCCGCUGACGAGUGGCGAACGGGUGAGUAUGCGUCGGAACGUGCCGAGUAGUGGGGGAUAACUAUCCGAAAGGAUAGCUAAUACCGCAUACGCUUGAGAAGGAAAGCAGGGGAUCGCAAGACCCUGCGCUAUUCGAGCGGCCGACGUCUGAUAGCUAGUUGGUGAGGUAAAGGCUCACCAAGGCAUCGAUCAGUAGCGGGUCUGAGAGGAUGAUCCGCCACACUGGGACUGAGACACGGCCCAGACUCCUACGGGAGGCAGCAGUGGGGAAUUUUGGACAAUGGGCGCAAGCCUGAUCCAGCCAUGCCGCGUGUCUGAAGAAGGCCUUCGGGUUGUAAAGGACUUUUGUCAGGGAGGAAAUCCCUAGCGCUAAUAUCGCUGGGGGAUGACAGUACCUGAAGAAUAAGCACCGGCUAACUACGUGCCAGCAGCCGCGGUAAUACGUAGGGUGCAAGCGUUAAUCGGAAUUACUGGGCGUAAAGCGUGCGCAGGCGGUUGUGUAAGUCUGAUGUGAAAGCCCCGGGCUUAACCUGGGAACUGCAUUGGAGACUGCACAGCUAGAGUGCGUCAGAGGGGGGUAGAAUUCCGCGUGUAGCAGUGAAAUGCGUAGAGAUGCGGAGGAAUACCGAUGGCGAAGGCAGCCCCCUGGGAUGACACUGACGCUCAUGCACGAAAGCGUGGGGAGCAAACAGGAUUAGAUACCCUGGUAGUCCACGCCCUAAACGAUGUCAACUAGCUGUUGGGGGUUUGAAUCCUUGGUAGCGUAGCUAACGCGAGAAGUUGACCGCCUGGGGAGUACGGCCGCAAGGUUAAAACUCAAAGGAAUUGACGGGGACCCGCACAAGCGGUGGAUGAUGUGGAUUAAUUCGAUGCAACGCGAAAAACCUUACCUGGUCUUGACAUGUACAGAACUUUCCAGAGAUGGAUUGGUGCCCGAAAGGGAGCUGUA
rnacentral:rRNA from 1 species